rnacentral:rRNA from 1 species
UACGUAGGGGGCAAGCGUUGUCCGGAUUUAUUGGGCGUAAAGCGCACGCAGGCGGUCUGUUCAGUUUGGAGUGACAGUUCCUGGCUCAACCGGGAAAGUGCUUCGAAUACUGGCGGACUUGAGGGCUUCAGAGGGACACGGAAUUCCGGGUGGAGUGGUGAAACGCGUAGAGAUCCGGAGGAACACCAAAGGCGAAGGCAGUGUCCUGGGGAGUACCUGACGCUCAGGUGCGAAAGCCAGGGGAGCGAACGGG